UACGGAGGGGGCAAGCGUUGUUCGGAAUUACUGGGCGUAAAGAGCGCGUAGGCGGGUUGACCAGUCAGGCGUGAAAGCCCGGGGCUCAACCUCGGAACUGCGUUUGAAACAGGACUGCUAGAGUCCGGGAGGGGUUCGUGGAAUACCGAGUGUAGAGGUGAAAUUCGUAGAUAUUCGGUGGAACACCAGUGGCGAAGGCGACGAACUGGACCGGUACUGACGCUGAGGUGCGAAAGUGUGGGGAGCAAACAGG
rnacentral:rRNA from 1 species